UACAGAGGUCUCGAGCGUUAGGCGGAAUCACUGGGCUUAAAGCGUGUGUAGGCGGAUCGGUAAGUACCUUGUAAAAUCCCACAGCUUAACUGUGGAACUGCUUGGUAUACUGCCAGUCUUGAGCCACUUAGGGGCUACCGGAACAAAUGGUGGAGCGGUGAAAUGCGUAGAUAUCAUUUGGAACGCCAAUGGUGAAAACAGGUAGCUGGGAGUGUGCUGACGCUGAGACACGAAAGCCAGGGGAGCAAACGGG
rnacentral:rRNA from 1 species